AGUUAACGUUAAAUUUUUGAAGUUAUUUUAGUUUUUUUGUUGGGUGAAAUCAGUAUAAAGAGUUUUUCCUUCUUUAAAAAUUAAUAGGAAUUAAAAAACUCUGAUUUAAAACCAGGAUUAGAUACCCUGUUAUUCUGAGUUAUAUUUAGACAGGGUAGUAAAAGUUGUUCUUCAAACCCAAAGAUUUUGGCGGCACUUUAUCCAAAUAGAGGAGCUUGUCCCUUAAUCGAUAGUCCCCGUUUUAUCUUUCCUCUGUUUGUAGAGCUUGUAUACCGCCGUUGUCAGAUUACUUCUAGAGAAUGUUUUCAAAUUAAAAGAUUUUUUUACUUCAGGUCAAGGUGCAGUUUAUAUAGAGGUGGAGGUGAGCUACAAUUUUCUUUACAAAUAUGGAUACUAAGCCUCGAAGCUGGUUGAAAGUGGAUUUAUUAGUAAAGUAAUUUAAGUAAA
rnacentral:rRNA from 1 species